rnacentral:lncRNA from 1 species
UUUAAGAAAACAAAGCAAAAAUAUUAAACCCUAGACUCCUCAUUUCUCUCCUCCGCUUUAGGACCUAGGAGUUCCUCUUCCCCAACUCCGAUUUGGACGGAGUAGAGAAGAGCUUUGACAGCACACCAAUGUAAGAACUCUCCGUCUUUUCCUAUUUAUUUAAUAUAUAAUCUUAUAUAUAUAUAUAUAUACAUAUAUGCUAAAAAAAAAAGAAAUAAAUCAGGAGACAGAAUGAAGAAGAAGAAAGAUGAACACCUUUUCUUCAAAUUUUCGAUUUUUUAUUGAUUCAUCAACAUUUUUUUUAUCCGUUUCCUCCCCUUCCCCUUUCAUUGCAGAUUUUGAUGGCUUUUAUAGCCAAAUAAAAAGAUAGUAACCAAAAAAAUCUAUUCUAUUUUCUAUUUUAUUUUUAUCAUUUCUGUCCAAUAUUACUGCUGUUGUUGCUGUUUCUUUGUGUUUCUUUGCAGGCAUUGAGUCAACUGGCAGAAGGCUUUGCCAUUUUGGUGCAAAAAUGGGUGGAGGCGUCGUCAUUGGGCGUGGUGCGCGCUGAAGGCGCACAUGGGGCAACAGCGGUGCGAGGGAAGGCAGGGAACCCUAGGGUUCCCUGAUGCUGUUUAAUUUUGGGCCCUAUUAGGCCGGAUAAGGUUUUAAAAAAUUGGGUCGUUUUGGUCUAAUGUACAUAGACUAUUAUUUUUAUGGGUUUUGGGUCUUUAAACCCAGGUCAAAAUUGACCUGUUACAUACAUAUUUUCAUAACUUGUUAUAUAUAUGUAUAUAUGCAUGCUUGUAUUUCUUUAUAUACUUUAUAAUUUAUACACGCCUAUAUAUAUAUAUACAUAGUUUUUACUUCAC